rnacentral:rRNA from 2 species
AAAUUGAAGAGUUUGAUCAUGGCUCAGAUUGAACGCUGGCGGCAGGCCUAACACAUGCAAGUCGAGCGGAAACGAGUUAUCUGAACCUUCGGGGAACGAUAACGGCGUCGAGCGGCGGACGGGUGAGUAAUGCCUAGGAAAUUGCCCUGAUGUGGGGGAUAACCAUUGGAAACGAUGGCUAAUACCGCAUGAUGCCUA